ACAACACCCGUUGGUCAACUGUGAGUUGACAUAAGGGGCUCAGGCUGUAGGAGACAGUGGCUGUUGAAUAAGCUCACAACUUGUUGAGGGAAUCACACACCAGCCAUGCUUCACAGGUGAGUUAGCAGAAGCAUGAAGAAAGGAUGCACAGCCUGCCACAGAAGAGCUGUGGGGUGCACAGGCACUUCAGAAUAAGGCACAGUGCUCGCAGCGCUCCAGAGAACGAAACAAUAAGACAAAGAAAGAUGCUCAACAGGACCUUACGACAGCAGUCCCACGUGCGCAAGAUCAGCUCUCAGAGCACUAAGGGCUGUUAUUGCUGGAGAGUAGAGAAAAUUGCCCAUUCACAAAUUGAAUCGCAGACCUGCAGUCCUGACCUGGAGGUGUGUGAUCUUACCCAGUACUGAGCACUGGUCCAUCGACCUUCUAUGUUCUCAGUAUUGCGGCAUUGUGAAGCCUGCCAGACACAGUUGACAAGACUGGCUGUGCACAAAAGCCAGCUCUCCGAGGACAAUGCAUGGAAUUCUCACUGAAAUUCAACACAAAAAUAUAAAUUUGACACCACAGUGCGUGCAGCAGCCUCUCAGUCCUUGGUACUGGCCUGGACCACUAGGGAGACACGGAAGACAAGAUACUCAUUGUCCAUGGGAGAGAAGACUCUAGGUGCUUUGAAAAGAUAGGACCUGUGACAAGAUGGAGACCCGAAAGAGAAAGAGCCUUCUCGGCGCUGUGAGAAAAGGUUGACAUGGUAGAAAUCCCCAAGGAUGCUGUGGCAUGGUGCUAUGAAACAGGAAGCUUUCCUAGACCCUAAACCUGCUGGCACCUCCAUCUAGGACUCUCAGCUUCCAGAGCAGUGGAGAAUGUGUGGCAGCCAUUACUACAACACAUAGCCUGUGGUGUUUCCACGCCGGUAGCCCAAAUGGAUGAAGAUAGUCUCCUUAGUGUUGUUCUCUUUGACUUCACAUUUGUUCCUAUGACUCUGCAGUCUAUCAGAACCACAAGAGGAGAACAUACGUGGCUGCACAAUAGGGAAAGCCAUGCCAUUCCCUCGAAAGCACGUGUCAGGGACAGGACUCUGCUCAUCAGCGUGCUUCGUGAUGUGAAGGACGCUCUGCUCUCUCCCACUGACUUAGGACCCCUCUGUGGAUAGAGCUUUCUUCCCUGCUUGGUGGGCACCGCACUGAGAUCCCCUCCUGGACUGCUGUUAUGGUUAGGAUGUGAAAUGUCCCCCACAGGCCCAAAGGUUAGAACUUUUGGUCCCCUAGAUGGUGUUGUUUUAGAAGGUUGUAGGAACCUUUAGGCUGGAAGAAGUAUUCCCUGGCCUCUAUCUGCUCUAUCCUUCACCCAAAUGCAAGCAAACUCCUGCUGCCUUGCCCACCAUGAGAGACCAUAUCCCUUCAAACUGUGGUAGAACACACACACAGGACUAUCCAAUGCCUGUAGUCACCAGAGAAAAGCAAAUAAACACUACGUUGAGAU